GCGGGGCGGUGGGGCCUCCGGCCGCGGUCGGCAGGGGGCGCUCGGAGCACGCGCGGUGCCCAGGGCCGGCCGGAGCCCGGAGCGGCAGGUGGGCCCUUGCCGCCGAGCGUGGGACUGGCGGGGGCCUGCGACCCGCAGCACUCGGGCCCAGCCCCGGCCUGCUCAGCGGCCUCGGAACUUCCCGCACCUCCCUUCUUCUCUGCCCUGCGCUCGCGGAGAAGAGGCGGGAAGCCGGCGGAGGGCGGCAGGGGCGCCGGCCAGCGGGCCACCGCUUCCAGCCGAGCCGCCCUCGGGAGGGAGGCCUGCUGCCCCGCGCCCGGUGCCGGCCUCGUCCCCGCCCUGAGAGGGGCAGACGGCCGGCUCCGGCUGCCCGCCCCAGGCCCGGGCGACGAGGCUGACCGCGCCUUGCGCCCGCCAGGCCCCGCCGGGCGUCCGCGCGCUGGGAGGCCCCGGGCUGGCGGAGGGCCGUGGGAGCAACGUCUCGGAGCUCGGGCCCGCGAAGGGGCCGGGGGCGUCGAGACUCGGGCUCUGCGAGCGUCGCUUUCGGGAGGGAGGACAGACCGGCGGCAGCCCUGGCGCUUGGGUCCGCCGCCGGGCGGGGCGGGAGAGCCGGGCAGCGCCCGCCGCCUGCAGGACACAGGCCCAGCCGCCAGCAAGGUGCAGGCGCCGCCACCCCGCCCGCCGUUCCGAACUGUCCGUGGGUCUGUCCGCCCAUCAAAGUCUUUUCUCAAACACCCGCAGCCACGGCGCGUCCGCGCUGGAGCGCGCCUUCCGCUCCGGCCCCGGGAAGGCGCCUCCGCCCGCUGUCCUCUGGCGGCCGCCGCCCGCCCGCAGCCCGCCGUCGCUGCGCCCCGAGGACCGCCGCGGCCCGCGCAGAGCGCGCCCCACAGGAGCCCAGGUCGCGAAGCUGGGAGGCGGCGGGGCCUCUACCCCUCCAGGCCCCGCGUGCAGCGUCUGCCCCGAGUCGCUGGGGGCCUGGAUGAGGAGAAACGGAGGCGCCCGUGGGCACGCACGCACACAACUUGUCCUUUCCGAUGA
rnacentral:lncRNA from 1 species